rnacentral:rRNA from 1 species
ACGCUGGCGGCAGGCCUAACACAUGCAAGUCGAGCGGUAGAGAGAAGCUUGCUUCUCUUGAGAGCGGCGGACGGGUGAGUAAUGCCUAGGAAUCUGCCUGGUAGUGGGGGAUAACGUUCGGAAACGGAUGCUAAUACCGCAUACGUCCUACGGGAGAAAGCAGGGGACCUUCGGGCCUUGCGCUAUCAGAUGAGCCUAGGUCGGAUUAGCUAGUUGGUGGGGUAAUGGCUCACCAAGGCGACGAUCCGUAACUGGUCUGAGAGGAUGAUCAGUCACACUGGAACUGAGACACGGUCCAGACUCCUACGGGAGGCAGCAGUGGGGAAUAUUGGACAAUGGGCGAAAGCCUGAUCCAGCCAUGCCGCGUGUGUGAAGAAGGUCUUCGGAUUGUAAAGCACUUUAAGUUGGGAGGAAGGGCAGUUACCUAAUACGUGAUUGUUUUGACGUUACCGACAGAAUAAGCACCCGGCUAACUCUGUGCCAGCAGCCGCGGUAAUACAGGGGGUGCAAGCGUUAAUCGGAAUUACUGGGCGUAAAGCGCGCGUAGGUGGUUUGUUAAGUUGAAUGUGAAAUCCCCGGGCUCAACCUGGGAACUGCAUCCAAAACUGGCAAGCUAGAGUAUGGUAGAGGGUGGUGGAAUUUCCUGUGUAGCGGUGAAAUGCGUAGAUAUAGGAAGGAACACCAGUGGCGAAGGCGACCACCUGGACUGAUACUGACACUGAGGUGCGAAAGCGUGGGGAGCAAAC